rnacentral:lncRNA from 1 species
UUGACGUGUCAUAAUAAAUGCCCAAUACCAAACCUAGUCUUUCUCCAGGCCCUUCAGACAUCAUUCAGGUAACUGGGUGUAAACACAGGAGUUGGCUUUGUGAAACUGAGGCAGGAUUUCCUGCCUCUAAACUAUUGGCAGCAAAAGAGCCAAAAAUGUGCUCCCAGGUGCAAAACCCCAGCCCCAUCAGAAUUGCUUCUCAGCACUUUGGGUAACUGUUUUGCACUAACAGCUUCCUCCUUGUCUUUUCCCUGGGAACAUGGGAGCACUGACACAGAACUCAACUGGUCCAGCCCUUUGGGAGGCCCAGGUGGGCAGAUCACCUGAAGUCAGGAGUUUGAGACCAGCCUGGGCAACAUGGUGAAACCCUGUCUCUACUAAAAAUACAAAAAUUAUCCAGUCGUGGUGGUGCAUGCCUGUAGUCCCAGCUACUCUGGAGGCUGAGGCAGGAGAAUCACUUGAACCUGAGAGGUGAAGGUUGUAGUGAGCCAAGAUCGUACCACUGCACUCUGGCCUGGGCAACAAGAGCGAGACUUUGUCUCAAACAGAAACAAAACAAGAAAAACAAAAAGAACUUAACCAGUUCUCCCCAGAUCUCAGCGUGCAUGCAUAUAUAGAGUUUAGUAAAAUGUGUUUCAAAAAAAGAAGGAUAAAAGAAAGUUUGAAGUAAGAUUUGUAAAAGAAUGAACACUUUAGGUUUUGUGUGUGAGUGCAAAAUGUAAACACGGCAUUUGAAAUUUUUUGGUAUUGAAAUCCUUAAUGCCUGUUAGUUUCUUUAUGGUUUUAUACAAUUGAGAUAGGUUCUGAAGUUUUUUUGUUGUUUGCUUUUAGAAAUUUUUAAAAAUACAAAAAAAAAGCGCAGAAACAUUUUCAUCUGGGUUACUGUGUUUAUAGACUAUUCUAUGACUCAAGACAACUAGGACACCAUCAUUUUCCAGAUAAGAAAUAACAGUUCAAGUUCAUUAGGGAAAUUAUCUUCCCAGUCCAAGCAAGCAAUAAUGUUAUCAACUUACAAUAUUGGACAAUCUUCAUAUUCUAUGAGAUGCCUUUAAAAUUUCUUUGGAUUUAAUGCUGCUCUUGGUCAGUUGUUCAAAUGAAACAUUGUAAUUUCAUGUUAACGACAAGAGUCUCACGGGAGUCUCUUUAGAUGCUGCAGGAACUGAGAGGAUAGAAGACCUCUCUAUACAUCUACAUUGCCCAUUGGAGUAAAGCACUUUACAGAGAGAUGGAUGCCGCUUUGGGAUUUGGGGUCUAUGUAAUGCUGAUUUUUUUCAAACCUGUUUGGAAAUAUUACUUCUUUGGGAUGGCUGAAAUAACUUUUGACCUGACACAUCUUUCUGUACUUCCUGUGGCCAAAAAAGCAAGUGAGACUUUCUGUUUCCCAUUGUAAGGCUGGAGCUGAAAUAGUCUGCCACGUUAUUGUUAUCUCCUUUGUAAGAAUUUGACUUUCUGAAUGAAAUAACAGAAUGCCAGUGUCAACACUGACCAUAUGAUAUAGUUAUUUCACUUAGAGAUGCUUCCUCAAAGAGCGUGCCUUUUUCCUCCAUCAUAACCGCUUUAGGAUCUCUGUUUUAUCCAUGUAUUUCCCACAUAGUAGAAGCAUUUUCCAUUUCCAUGAAUAUUACAGGCUGAGAAGGAGCACACAUCUGGCACUGAUAAGCACACUGGCCCAGGCACUCAGCCUUCUCAUUUCAUUAAUCUGGUUGGUGACCGUUUCCAUCGGGCACACCUGGAAAUGUCCAUCGGACAUAUUGCCAUCUCAGUUGCUGCAGUGCAGUGAAUUACCCCAGAGCCACCAGUUCACAUGCCCAAAGAUGAACUGGCCCAUGGAGGGACUUGAUUGCCAAGUGACUUCCUUUCUGUAGUUAUCCUCUGCUGUGACCCUUAUUUUGGACUUCUAGCAAGGGCAUUCAGUGUGGAUUCCAAGAACAAAACCAAUUGUCCAACCUCCAUUACAGGGGUCUUCUAGGUAUUCCCCACACAUUAUUUGUGGGCAUAAGCAAACACCAUAACUAUGAAAGGCUGAGAGUGGAGAAUUAAGUCAUAAGGAAAUGAUCAAACCUAGGGAAAAAUAAGUGGCUAUAAAACACUGAAAGAUAGUCACAUCCACAUAGCGUGUAUCAUGCAACAGACCCGUGCUCUUAGAGGGAGGUAGUGUGUGUCUUCCCAUGGCAAAUAAUUUUUACAAUACUGCUCAUGUUUAAUGUGUGUCUACAGGGCAUGCUGUUGUCUCAAAAUUGAAAUGUGCAUCUUAGGUAUCAGUUCCCAGCCUCAGACUCUUCUCAGGCAGGUGGACCGGAUCUCAGCUGCAGAACAUAGUGAGUGGCCAAACCUACACAGCCCAGCCAGUAGUGUGCUUUGGGGUGAUUGCAAGGCAGCAAACAGUGGGGACAAGUUUUGUCUGGCAUUUGAAAAGGUGUUAUCCCUUACUUUCCACAUUUCUGAAUUGGAUUCUUGUUCCCUGGUAAACACCAGAUAUUAUAAACAGAGCAUGCUGUUAUGACAUUGUGCUUCUAUAUACCUUUUUGUAUAAUGUAUCUAUCUCAUUAUAUUACCUAUGGUUUCAGUAUGAUCUGUUGUGUAUGUUCCACCGUAUAUUUAAUGUCUCUGUAAAGGCACUUCCAAACAUUUUGAAAACGAAGAAAUAAAACAUGUUGGAUG